rnacentral:rRNA from 1 species
AUGAUCCUACGGGACGCAGCAGUAGGGAAUAUUGCUCAAUGGGGGAAACCCUGAAGCAGCAACGCCGCGUGGAGGAUGAAGGUUUUCGGAUUGUAAACUCCUUUUGUUAGAGAAGAUAAUGACGGUAUCUAACGAAUAAGCACCGGCUAACUCCGUGCCAGAAGCCGCGGUAAUACGGAGGGUGCAAGCGUUACUCGGAAUCACUGGGCGUAAAGAGCGCGUAGGCGGGAUAGCAAGUCAGAUGUGAAAUCCUAUGGCUUAACCAUAGAACAGCAUUUGAAACUGUUAUUCUAGAGUCUGUGAGA